UACUCCAAACCCAACACAUCCUCCCCUCACCAUAUACAAUUCUACAUCCAUUCAUCGAUACUCCAAAGUCGAAACCCAUCUCUCUCUCUCUCUCUCUCACUCACCAUGUAUCCUACUGCCUCUACCAACGAGUAUCAGAAGUACUCAGCGCCGCACAUGCCAACAGCGCCGCCUUCGAUUGACCAAUACGGUUCGGCGACAGGCAUUCCUGUGGGCUCGACGGACCAAUCCUACGAUUCGACCAUCACUGCUGCCUUCCAAAUCCAAUCCCAGCCUCCUGGCCCAUGGUCCACUGGGCUCUGUGACUGUGGUGAAGACGUCGGCAAUUGUUGCCUAACAUGUUGGUGUCCAUGCAUCACCUUCGGUCGGAUUGCGGAGAUAAUCGACAGAGGAUCGACCUCAUGUGGGGCGAGCGGGGCACUUUACACUCUAAUACUAUGUGUGACAGGGUGUACGUGCCUGUAUUCGUGCUUCUAUAGAUCGAAAUUGAGGCAGCAGUAUACAUUGAAGGAGACCCCAUGCUGCGACUGCCUCGUUCAUUGCUUCUGCGAAUCCUGUGCUCUCUGUCAGAUGCACAGAGAGCUUAAGCACCGUGGCUUCUACAUGGAUAUUGGAUGGCAUGGGAACUUGGAAAAGCAGAGCCGUGGAAUCACGACCUUGCCACCAACCAUUCAAGGCGGCAUGAUCCGUUAGAUUCAAAGAUAAUCAUGCGAUUAUGGUCGCAGCGUGUGAUGAUUGUGAAUGUGAAUUCGCUUUGGUGUAUGUGUUAAAGAAAGUAGUAUGUGAACUUUCAUAUAAGACUUUUCUUUUUCACUGGCACUUCGGUUUAGGUAGGAAAAAAGGGCAUUGUAUUGUGAAAGAUAACUCUCUUUUAUGUGUGUCAUGAACAUGUAAGGGUGGAAACGAAAAUUGCCUAUGCUAUUUGUUAAUUGUUGCUUGUUA